GACGAACGCUGGCGGCGUGGAUUAGGCAUGCAAGUCGAGCGACGGUGUCCUUCGGGCGAUACGGAGCGGCGAACGGGUGAGUAACACGUGAACAACCUGUCCCUUUGUUCCGGAUAAUUGGGAGAAAUCCCUUGUAAUACGGGCGAGGACGGUCCUUUGGCAUCUUGGGAUCGGGAAACAUGGGAGUGGCAACACUUUCG
rnacentral:rRNA from 1 species